rnacentral:tRNA from 1 species
GAGGGUAUAACACAGUGGCAGGGUGCCUGCCUAGCAUGCACGAGGUCCUGGGUUCAGCCCCCAGUACCUCCA